rnacentral:rRNA from 1 species
CCAAGAAUCUUCCGCAAUGGGGGAAACCCUGACGGAGCGACGCCGCGUGAAGGAAGAAGGUCUUCGGAUUGUAAACUUCUUUUCUAUGGGAAGAAUAAGGAGCCAGGAAAUGGGUCUCCGAUGACGGUACUAUAGGAAUAAGCCCCGGCUAAUUACGUGCCAGCAGCCGCGGUAAUACGUAAGGGGCGAGCGUUGCUCGGAAUUACUGGGCGUAAAGGGCGUGUAGGCGGCCCGAUAAGUCGAAUGUUAAAAACCACGGCUCAACCGUGGGGCUGCAUUCGAAACUGUCAGGCUUGAGUUUGGUGGAGGGUGAUGGAAUUCCCGGUGUAGCGGUGAAAUGCGUAGAUAUCGGGAAGAACACCGAAGGCGAAAGCAGUCAUCUAUGCCAAAACUGACGCUGAGGCGCGAAAGCAUGGGGAUCAAACAGG